CCCUUUUUACCGUCCUGACCAUUGCCAUCGCCGCAGGUAUGAUCACGCUUCCUGUGCUAUUUUACUGGUAAAGUCUUUUUAUAUUGUUACUCACACUUAGUGCUUUGUCGUAGAGUCUCCCCCUCCCUGUGCGGCAUUGGCCUCCCGCUGGCUGGAUGUGCGUCCAGUGCAGUCCCCGGGUGCUGAGAGCCGAAAGUGGGAGCAGUUCCUGGUGGUGAUGGGUUCCCAUCUUUGUGUGCUGUGACAUUUGUCUCUCACUGAGUGUAUCAUUGCCGUGUGUGUGUGUGUGUGUGUGUGUGUGUGUGUGUGUGUGUGUGUG